UACGUAGGGGGCAAGCGUUGUCCGGAUUUAUUGGGCGUAAAGAGCGUGUAGGCGGCCUGAAAGGUCAGCUGUGAAAACUCGAGGCUCAACCUCGAGACGUCGGUUGAAACCAUCUGGCUAGAGUCCGGAAGAGGAGUGUGGAAUUCCCGGUGUAGCGGUGAAAUGCGCGGAUAUCGGGAAGAACACCCGUGGCGAAGGCGGCACUCUGGGACGGUACUGACGCUGAGACGCGAAAGCGUGGGGAGCGAACAGG
rnacentral:rRNA from 1 species